GGGAGAUGUUGGGAGCCGCCCCCACAUUCGCCGUCACAAGAUGGCGUUGACAUCCUGUGUUCUAAGUGGUAAACAAAUAAUCUGCGCAUGUGCCAAGGGUAUUUACGACUACUUGUACUCUGCUUUUCCCGUGAACGUCAGCUCGGCCAUGGGCUGCAGCCAAUCAGGGAGUGAUGCGUCCUAAGUGAAGGGUCACUCCUCCUUAAAGGGGACGGGGUUUUCCGCCACUCUCUCUCGCUGGCAUCUCUCUGGGCACUUGCUCUCCUGGCUCCCAAAGAUGUUAGCAAUAAAGUUUUGCCGCAGAAGAUUUUGGUCUGUGGUGUUCUUCCUGGCCGGUCGUGAGAACGCGUCUAAUAACAAAUAAUCACUUAGGGAUUCUAUGGGCUCAAAGAAAAGUCCUUCUGUGAACAAGAGGCACCCAAAGGAAGGGAGUCUCAAGUUGUCACUAUCAACUUACAUUUACCUUUCAAGGAUCUGUGGCCCACAUGUCUGGGUCAGGUCCUGCUAUCAGGUGAACACAGAGAGCUGUCAAGACAGGUGGAACGUCUCUGGUGUGGUAUCUGAGUCCAGUAGGUGCUGCAUUUGGCUUGCAUGCUUCCUUUACGUUCCUAUAGAAUCUUCUAGAACUUCAGAUAGAUCGUUCUUUCUGCACACUCUGAACUUUCCCUCCUUGCUUCCUUCUCUUUCCCACAGAUCUUUUGAUCUCUUAGCCUCCCUAUCUCUUUUCUGGCUAAUUCCAGAAUCCUCUGCCUCUCUCUGGUCUCACCUUGAGCCACAAUGAUGACCAUGGUCAGCUCUUUACCAGUUCAAAACACUCCACAACUUUGGCUUUUUUUGCGGUAAGGUCUCUAUUUGUCUCUCUUGAGCUAAGAUCAUGAUCAAGAAAGAUCUUGAGCUCAAGACCUUUCUGCCUCCAGCCCUCCGAGUACUGGAUCACCAUCCAAGUGGUGGGAUAUGCUACCAUACCCAGCAAAAGACUAAAUGUUAGUGGAAAUCUCCAGGUGGAAACACUAAUCUUAAGGUUAUCUUCCCCAUUUGAAAAUGGUUUGUUUAUGCCUGAAUUACUGUUUAUUGCUAUACAUACACACUGUAGAGGAAUAUAUGUAUUUAUACUAUUUAAUUUAAACUGGUAAUCAAGUUUAUGGUAAUCUUCCUUCCUCAGAGUCUCAAAUGUUGGGAUUACUAUUGAAUGCUACCACACCUCACCAGGUAAGAUUUUGUUUAAUAAUUUUUUAUGUUAUAUGCAUGUGUGUUUUAUGUUUGGGCACAUGUAUCUGUGUACACAAAUGUAGUUACAGAUGAGCACUGUUUGUGUGUUUCUCUUUUCUAUCAUUCUCUGCCUGGCGUGGUUUAGUAUUUGAAUAAAUAUGAAAGUGUCCUUUUUUGGCAAGCCCAGCUUUAAUUGCUAUUACUGGAUUAGUUUGUCUAAAGAAAUGUCAAGCUACAACGUGAAACUGGGUGGUGAUCAGGUCAUUUCAGGCUUUUAUGUAGCCAAGUCUAUUCUAGAUAUAAAUACCCUUAAGCACUGAAGGAGCAAGCCUAUGAAUUCUGAACUCUUCCCCUCGAUCAGACCUGCUUCUGAGGCUGCUCCAGGCUUCAUCACCAGCAGUCAUAUGACCUUUUAAUAACAAAACUAAACACCAAAAUAAUCCUGAAUUUCCCAGCUGUAGAAGAUCAUCAAAAAAGUUUUAUAAUAGACUUAUAGUUUAAUAAAAUGUGUUUCAUGUCUGGCCUCUCUUACAAUGAAGGUAUAAAGUAUGUAAGACUGUUAGGUCCACAUUGGGCUCCCCAAAUGGUAGUGCUGGUGAGAAUGUCCUAAACAGAAGGAUUGUUACCAGAUAAACGGAGCCUUAAAUUCAACAUCCUUCAUGGAUUUUCUAAAGUGAUUUUCUGUUUAUCAGGAACCUCCCUUAAUCCACCCCACACGUCAACUACCUUGGACAUCUAGUUCCGGGUCAAUCCAAACAAUCCUGUAUUAGCUCAAAGCCUCCCCCUCCCUGUUAACAUAUAAAAUUUACUUGCUUUCUGCAAUUUUGUGCUCCCACACACCCAGAGAUAGCCUUGGCAGCUUGAUCCCUAAUAAGCGUUUAUUUCUACCUAUGGAGGGGUCUAGUUAUGACCUCUGCAUAAAUUCUCAGUAUAAAUUCUUACUGACCUCUCCAGCAUCUUCCAGAUAGAUGAUCAUUCUUAACUGUGUUUUGGGACUAGGCAAGUUUUCAGAGGGAAGAAGAAAAGAAUCUUGUUUUGGAGUCCAAUUCCUUGGCCAGUGUUCCUCAAGCUUGCUUGUUUUCUUAUUUGUGUGAAGGUUUGUUUCAGUGCUUAUAGCUUGAAUAUUCCCUGUAAGUAGAAAGCGUUCUACUUCAUUUCAUUGGGUUGGGGGUGGAUGUUGUUUUUGGUUUUUUUUUUUUUUUUUUUUUUUACAGUUCUAGAAAUAGAACAUGAGACAAAUGCUAAGCCAGAGCUUUACCACUGAGCUACUCCAUUCAAGCUACAUUUCUUUGUCACUUAAAAGAUAGGGUUGACAAAAUUGCUCAGUGGUUAAAGAUGCAUGCCAGGAAAACUUAGCAACUUCAGUUUUACCCUGCUGCUCAAGGCGGAAGGAGUGAACCGAUGACACGUGCACCGUGGCAUACACAAUACACACAUCAUAAUAAUAAAUAAAUUUAAAUUUUUUAUACUAGUGUUGAAAAAUGAUUUUGAGUUUUUAAAAAUUUAGUCUUUUUGCUGGCUGGUGAAGCCUUUAUUCCCAGCACUCAGGAGGCAGAGGCAGGCGGAUCUCUGAGUCUGUGGCCAGCCUGUUCUACAGAGUGAGUUUCAGGACAGCCAGGGUUACAUGGAGAAAGCCUGUUUCAAAAAUUCAAAAGGAGGAAAAACAUAUAUAGUCUUUUGAAAACGUUCCGCAUCAACGCACACUAAGCACAACUCUCACCUCCAAGAGGAUAAGGGAUUAUUCGGAAGCCAAAACGUGAAGGACCAUGGCCUAGGAACACAGAUUUAUGCUACCCUAACUUUCAUGAUGCUUUUAUAAUAACAGAACAAAGUCUUUUCUUUUAAUUACUUUAUUUAUUUUGUAUAUAUAUGAGUACACUGUUGCUGACUUCAGACACACCAGAAGAGGGCAUCUGAUCCCAUUACAGAUGGUUGUGAGCCACCAUGUGGUUGCUGGGAAUUGAACUCAGGACCUCUGGAAGAGCAGUCAGUGCUCUUAACCACUGAGCCAUCUCUCCAGCCCACCCCCCCUACCCCCCCAAAACAAAGUCUUAUGGCAGUUUUUUUUUUUUCAAAUAAAUUUGUGGAAAUAUUAAGUAGGUGGUUACAGCCAAAUGGAAAAAAUCUCAGUGCUAGGCCUCGAAUGCUGGCUGGUGAUGCUCUUAGCUUUUUGAUUGGUGGAAACUGGAUUUCAUUAUGUUAAUUACAUUCUAAAAGGCUUUAGUCUCGUGAUGUUAGGUCAAACACAAAGGUAGGCAAGGAAUGGCUGCUUAGAGGUUAAAGAUAACCCAUGGUAACUGUAAUUAGACUCUGGGCCUGUAACACUGUAGCCUCUCCACAAUCAUUCAAUUUUUAACCAGUUGAUUGUCCUUGGAGAAGAUUGAGUUUAAGGGUAGCUUCUCUCUGGGCACCUUCACUUACAGCCCACUGGCACAAUAAAGGCAUGAGGGUUAUGGGACCAACCAGCUGCUAUCCGAUCAGCUCUGAGGCUCGCUCUCCAGGAAGGAACUCAUGUGUAGUAAAACCUGUCAAAAGCCCAGGUCUGAAGGAAAACCUACAUGUCUAGGGAAACCUCCUAUUGUUUAGUUAAAUGGUUAUGUUGUCAAAUUUCUUUCUAAAUAUCUACCUAGAUUUGUACUACUCUCAACUGUGGUCAGGGGAGCCGAUUUUUUUCAGUGGGCCUCUGGGUUAAUAUGGUGACUCCUGGUUAAAGUGGGAGACUGAGGGACUGUCAGCUUUCAGUUUUCAGGUCAGGACACAUUAAGGAAGAGCAGGAAGGUGGGGAGGAUGUCUUCUGACACGACAGGACUGUCACACUCAUGAACCCACAGCAGACUAGCACACGAUCAGGCCAGUCAAAAUCCCAGCGUGGAUGAGAGGGAGUUUAUGUGGCUCCCCCUAGUUGAGGAGCCAUUGGCACCAGUGCUAGGAGGAGAGCCAUUUUUCCUCAGGGGUGUGGCUACUGGUAGGUACCCAUGCUCUGGUGGGUAGUUCCCCCCGCCCCUGUGUACACAGGGCAGUACUAAUUGGACUCAGUGGGUUGGUUGUUUGUCUUUUUAAAAGAAGAAGAGGAUAUGAGAUGGGGAGGGGCCCAUGUUGGAGGGGGGGUCUAGGGGAAGUUGGAGGUGGGGGUAGAUAUGAUCAAAAUACAUUAUAUGUACAUAUGAAAUUCUCAAAGAACAAAUACAAAUUAUAGUACUAAAAAAUUAGGUAUUGGGGGGGAUAGACAAUCUUAUUAUGUAGCCCAAGAUGACCUCAAACUUAGAGUCGACUUGCCUCAACCUUACCAGUGCUAGGAUUACAGGCAUAUGUUUUUGUGUUUUAUUUUGAGAACUUUGUUUCACUUUGCCUUUGGCAAUAAGGUCACUUCCUAGUUUCAUACAAUCCCAAUGGGCUUAACUGAAAUAAUUAUCACUUCCUCUCUAAAAAGAAACUUUCACAGUAUUUAUUAAGCACACUCUAUGUGCCCCAAGAUACCGGGUGGGUGUCUCAUCCGGGUUCCAUUUCCAGUAGCCCAUUGGAAUUGAAGGAAGAGGUAGGAAUCCUUGGAGAGUCAAUUGGUUUGGCACAGAUAACACCUUAAGACAAUGCUGUUACCUAAGAAGUCAGUGUAAACCAGAUGUGGUGGUCCAUGUCUGUAAUCCUCCCACUUUGGAGAUUGAGGCAGGGUGAUUCCCACAAGUUUUGCCUAGGAAAUCUUAGCUAUCCUAGGCUACAGUGAUAGAGACUCUGUCCCAAAAAGGAAGUUUGUUUGUUUUUUAAAAGAGGUAACAUAAAACAUAAGAACAACCUUUAGACUCUGACACAUAGAGAUUCACACUCAGCUUUGCACCCAUUAUAAAGUAGCUUCUAAGUUGUCACAUCAUCUAUCAGAUGGGGUCCUUGCAUAACACUGGAGAAUGAACUGUCCUGUUAUAAAUGGAUACAAAUAAAAGCAAUACAAAUAAAUACAAGAACCUUUGUAGAGCACUUUUGUACAUAAGAGAUAUUCAACAAACAGUAGCUAUUACUGUGUGUUCCUUGUGAUAAAAAUUCACACACACACACACACACACACACACACUGAGAUGGCUCAGUAGGUAAAGGUACUUUCUGCCAAGACUGAGCUUGAUCCCUGGACCCAUUAACCAACUCCCAUAAGUUGUCCUCUGACUUCCAUACCUGUACUGUGCCACCUGCACCCGAAAACAUCCACUCACAUAUUUUUAUUUUAUUUUAUUUUAUUUUUUUCUUAUAAAAAACAAUAUUUAAUUGGGGCUGGCUUACAGGUUCAGAGGUUCAGUCAGUUAUCAUUAAGGUGGAAGUAUGGCAGUAUCCAGGCAGGCAUGGUGCAGGCAGAGCUGAGAGUUCUAUGUCUUCAUCCAAAGGCUGCUAGUGGAAGUCUGACUUCCAGGCAAUUAGGGUGAGGAUCUUAUGCCCACACCCACAGUGGCACACCUACUCCAACCAAGUCACACCACACUCACAUAUUUUUAAAUAGAUAAGUGCAAUAAAAAUAUUUUAAAUCCACAAAAUAAAUGGAAAAAAACCCCACACACAAACAAAACCAUUGGCUCUGUUUUUCAUAAGUCAGAUGCAAAACAAACUGUAGAAUGUUAAAAACAUAAGUUAUCUCUAAAAGCAUGUAUAGAAUAUAACUACUAUAAGAAUAUAUAAGACAUGUAUGUAAAUGCUUUAUACCAAAAUUCCUGACACAUAACACUUGCUUGGAGGCUGUCUUUGUUAAGGUUGCUAUUGCCAUGAUGAAUAAAUACCAUAAUUAAAGCAAGCCAGGGAGAAAAGGGUUUAUUUGCCUCUCUAUCGCUGCUCAUCCUGAAGGAAGUCAGAACAGGAACUCAAACAGGGCACGAAUUCAAACCUGGAGGCAGGAGCUGAUGCAGAGGCCAUGGAGAAGUGCUGCUUACUGGCUUGCUCCUCAUGAUCUAAUCCUCCUGCUUUCUUACAGAACCUUGAACCACCAGCCCAGGGAUUGCCCCACCCACAGUGGGCUGGGCCCUCAACCAUCAAUCACUAAGAAAAUGCAGGAUCUUGUAGAGGCAUUUUUCUCAAUUGAGGUUCCCUUCUUUCAAAUAACUAGUUUGUGUCAAGUUAACAUAAAACUAGCCAGCAUACUAGUGGUAGUACUUACUAGAGAGUUAUAAUUCUCCUGAACUAGAUCCAGUUAGGCAUCUCUACCCUAAGCUGCAAACCUGAAGUAUCAGAAAACAGAGACCUCCCCCCAACAUCUCCCCCCACCUUCCUCUUACCUCCCUCACUCCUCCCCCACUCCAGUCCAGACCUUCCAGUGGUAAACACUGAGGGUGUCCUAAGCCCUCCUGGUAGGUAAUAAGGCUGUGGUUCUCAGCAGAGCUGCACAUUGGAAUUGCCUGGAGAGAGCCAGUGAGCUGCCUAGGUGGCUCAGGACACUUGCCACCAAGCCUGAUGACCUGAGCUUGAUCCCUUGAACAGGAGAGACCUGACUCUGGCUUCCACACACAUGCCAUGAUAUGCCAGCAAUUAGAAGCAUACACAUAAAUAAAUGUAAAAAUCAAAAAAGGUAAAAGAAUUACAUGGAAUAUUUAAAAAAAAUUGAGAUAUGCGUGCUCCAUUGAGACCAACUGUUAUCAUCUGAGGGACAGGGACCAGUCAUAGAAUUUCUCAAAGCUCCAAGAUUAUACGUAUCUAAGGCUUAAGAAUAUACCUCUUGCCCUGCGCGGUGGCGCACACCUUUGAUCCCAGCACUUGGGAGGCAGAGGCAGGUGAAUUUCUGAGUUCAAGGCCAGCCUGGUCUACAGAGUGAGUUCCAGAACAGCCAGGGCUACACAGAGAAACCCUGUCUCAAAAAACCAAAAAAUAAAAAACCAUAAAAACAACAGAAUAUACCUCUUGGGUGUGUGUGUGUGUGUGGAGAGAUGGCUCAGCAAUUAAGUCCUCUGACUAGCACAUGUACACAAUGUCACACAUACACACAUGUACACACACAUACACACUUGUAUACACACACACACUCAUUCACGCACAGGCGGUACACUCUACCAAACCUGGCACAUCCUGUGUUUCUGGAAGUGAAGUGAAAGCCAGAUUCCCUCGCACCCAUCCACCAUUUUAUGUGACCGACUGGGUAAAUCUGAUCUGUGGAGACCGCCUCACCUCCUUGCUUUCAGCCAGAGGGGAUGACUCUGAGCUUGUUUAAAAAGCGGAGCAAAAAGCCUCGAAGAUAUGGGUACAGGGGAAAAAUUCCUAAAUAGAACAGCAAUGGCUUGUGCUCUAAGAUCGAGAAUCGAUAAAUGGGACCUCAUAAAAUUGCAAAGCUUCUGCAAGGCAAAAGACACUGUCAAAAGGACAAAAAGACCACCAACAGAUUGGGAAAGGAUCUUUACCUAUCCCAAAUUGGAUAGGGGACUAAUAUACAAUAUAUAUAAAGAACUCAAGAAGGUGGACUCCAGAAAAUCAAAUAACCCCAUUAAAAAUGGGGCUCAGAGCUGAACAAAGAAUUCUCACCUGAGGAAUACCAAAUGGCAGAGAAGCACCUGAAAAAAUGUUCAACAUCCUUAAUCAUCAGGGAAAUGAAAAUCAAAACAACCCUGAGAUUCCACUUCACACCAGUCAGAAUGGCUAAGAUCAAAAAUUCAGGUGACAGCAGAUGCUGGCGAGGAUGUGGAGAAAGAGGAGCACUCCUCCAUUGUUGGUGGGAUUGCAAGCUUGUACAACCACUCUGGAAAUCAGUCUGGCGGUUCCUCAGAAAAUUGGACA
rnacentral:lncRNA from 1 species